CACGUAGGGUGCGAGCGUUGUCCGGAAUUAUUGGGCGUAAAGAGCUCGUAGGCGGUGUGUCGCGUCGGCCGUGAAAACCUGCAGCUUAACUGUGGGCUUGCGGUCGAUACGGGCAUCACUGGAGUUCGGCAGGGGAGACUGGAAUUCCUGGUGUAGCGGUGAAAUGCACAGAUAUCAGGAGGAACGACCGGUGGCGAAGGCGGGUCUCUGGGCCGAUACUGACGCUGAGGAGCGAAAGCGUGGGGAGCGAACAGG
rnacentral:rRNA from 1 species